UACGAAGGGGGCUAGCGUUGUUCAGAAUUACUGGGCGUAAAGGGCGCGUAGGCGGCCUAUCAAGUCAGAUGUGAAAGCCCUGGGCUUAACCUAGGAGGUGCAUUUGAUACUGAUGGGCUUGAGAUCGAGAGAGGAGAGUGGAAUUGCGAGUGUAGAGGUGAAAUUCGUAGAUAUUCGCAAGAACACCAGUGGCGAAGGCGACUCUCUGGCUCGAUACUGACGCUAAGGCGCGAAAGCGUGGGGAGCAAAC
rnacentral:rRNA from 1 species